rnacentral:rRNA from 1 species
AUUAUUGAUUGCGAAUGGUUGUCUCCAGUGCUGGCCGGGUCACUCUGGCAAGUGCACGGAGACAGCUUUCAUCCAAUACCCUGUGCACCUUUGGCCUCUUGCUAGCUUCGGCCAGCAGAGGAUUUUACACCCACUCGCAUGUAAUGAAAUUACUGUUGUGCACAAGCACUACUAUACAACUUUCAACAACGGAUCUCUUGGCUCUCGCAUCGAUGAAGAACGCAGCGAAAUGCGAUAAGUAAUGUGAAUUGCAGAAUUCAGUGAAUCAUCGAAUCUUUGAACGCACCUUGCACCCUUUGGUAUUCCGAAGGGUAUGCUCGUUUGAGUGUCAUUGUACUCUCACACUCCCGAUUGUUUGGAUCGGGAGUGGUGGACUUGGGUGUUGCUGCUUUCCAGUGGCUCACCUUAAAUGCAGUAGUGCAACUCUCGGUUGGACAUAGUACGGCGUGAUAAGUGUCUUCGCCGGCACCUCCUCACAGAGGGUGGCCGAUCGGGAGCUCUGUGCUUCCAACCGUCUUCGGACAACGACUGACAACUUGACCUCAAAUCGAGUAGGACUACCCGCUGAACUUAAGCAUAUCAAUAAGCGGAGGAAAAGAAACUAACAAGGAUUCCCCUAGUAACGGCGAGUGAAGAGGGAAGAGCUCAAAUUUUGAAUCUGGCGUCUCUGGCGUCCGAAUUGUAAUCUAGAGAAGUGUUUUCCGUGACGGA